rnacentral:pre_miRNA from 1 species
CUCAGCUUUGAGAACUGAAUUCCAUGGGUUGUGUCAGUGUCAGACCUGUGAAAUUCAGUUCUUCAGCUGGGAU